rnacentral:tRNA from 1 species
GGCCCCGUCGUCUAGUGGCUAGGACGCCGCUCUUUCAAGGCGGUAACACGGGUUCGAAUCCCGUCGGGGCCACCA